rnacentral:rRNA from 1 species
UACCGAGGGUGCGAGCGUUGUUCGGAAUUACUGGGCGUAAAGCGCGCGCAGGCGGUCCUUUAAGUCUCCCCGUGAAAUGCCGGAGCUCAACUCCGUGCACGCCGGGGGAUACUGGGGGACUGGAGACAUGUAGAGGCAAGCGGAAUUCCGGGUGUAGCGGUGGAAUGCGUAGAUAUCCGGAAGAACACCUGAGGCGAAGGCGGCUUGCUGGGCAUGAUCUGACGCUGAGGCGCGAAAGCGUGGGGAGCAAACAGG